rnacentral:lncRNA from 1 species
GUCUGAAUUGUGUUCCCCCCAAAAUCCAUAUGUUGAAGUUCCAACUCCCAGUGCCUUAAAAUAUGACCAUAUUUGGAGAUAGGGCCUCAAAGGAGGUGAUGAAGUUAAAGUGAGGUCAUCGAGGGGUCACCAUAAUUCAUUAUGACUGGUGUCCUUUCAGGAAGAGGAGAUUAGGACACAGACACACACAGAGGGAAGACCAUGUGAAGACACAGAGGGAAGAUGGCCAUGGAAAAGCUAGAGAGAGAGAGUUCUCAGAAGAAAUAACUCUGCCAACACCUUGAUCUCAGAUUUCUAGCCUCCAAAGAAGAGUGUGAAGAGUGAACACAAGCAGAGAGAAUGUACAUUAAGUCACUGAUUUGACAACAUCUAGGAGCCAGCGCAAGCCAGUAUGAGUAGCAGACUCAGUCUCCCUUUAGUGCCAAGCAGAAGAUUACUCAUGGAGAUAGAGUGGAGCACCUGGGAGAAAUGGAUUCUGAGGAAACAGAAGCAUCGCCUUGAUAUUAUUCCCUUGAGUGUGAUUAUAAACCAUGAAAUGAGUGACAGACAAAAACUGCUUAAGUUGAGGCAUAUAUUUUCACUGUAUUUUGGAUGCUGCUACUCUGACAAUGUAUUUUAAGCCUAGUAUUCUUUCUUCUUUUUUGUUCUUUUUUUUUUUCUUUAAAUUCUCAUUCACUUGUGUGAAAGCUGCUCUUCUCAAGACUGAAGCUUUUCUGUAGUAAUGUCUGCUUAGAUUUGAAUCUACUAGGGCCUUGGCACAUACAGCUAGAAUGCUCUAUUUUUAAAGAUAUAUUGUGUCUGUUAAUACAAAGGUCAUGAUGUAGAUUUUUGCACUUAGAAUCAGCAUGAGAAUGUGGAACUGUUCCUUGCAGAUCUUGGCUCCAUCAGCAAAUAAAUUAAAAUAAAC